ACACUUAUCUAGCAGGGGAGACACCAUGAUCACUAAGGUGUUUUUCCCAGGGCAAGGCGUAUCCGUUGCACUCCAGAUGUGCUGACUGCUGCAAUUUCCUCAAAUGAGGCCUACUCGACUGCGUAAUCUGUGGUAGCGGGGGCUGCAUUCGUGAAAGA